CAGUAGCCACGGUAAUACGUAGGUGGCGAGCGUUGUCCGGAAUUAUUGGGCGUAAAGGGAGCGCAGGCGGACAUAUAAGUCCAUCUUAAAAGUGCGGGGCUCAACCCCGUGAGGGGAUGGAAACUGUAUGCCUUGAGUGCAGGAGAGGAAAGCGGAAUUCCCAGUGUAGCGGUGAAAUGCGUAGAUAUUGGGAGGAACACCAGGGGCGAAGGCGGCUUUCUGGACUGUAACUGACGCUGAGGCUCGAAAGCCAGGGGAGCGAACGGGAUUAGAUACCCCAGUAGUCCCUGUCUCUUAUACA
rnacentral:rRNA from 1 species